UAAGGGCGCACGGUGGAUGCCUUGGCACUAGAAGCCGAUGAAGGACGUUACUAACGACGAUAUGCUUUGGGGAGCUGUAAGUAAGCUUUGAUCCAGAGAUUUCCGAAUGGGGAAACCCAGCAUGAGUUAUGUCAUGUUAUCGAUAUGUGAAUACAUAGCAUAUCAGAAGGCACACCCGGAGAACUGAAACAUCUUAGUACCCGGAGGAAGAGAAAGAAAAUUCGAUUCCCUUAGUAGCGGCGAGCGAAACGGGAAGAGCCCAAACCAACAAGCUUGCUUGUUGGGGUUGUAGGACACUCUAUACGGAGUUACAAAGGACGACAUUAGACGAAUCAUCUGGAAAGAUGAAUCAAAGAAGGUAAUAAUCCUGUAGUCGAAAAUGUUGUCUCUCUUGAGUGGAUCCUGAGUACGACGGAGCACGUGAAAUUCCGUCGGAAUCUGGGAGGACCAUCUCCUAAGGCUAAAUACUCUCUAGUGACCGAUAGUGAACCAGUACCGUGAGGGAAAGGUGAAAAGCACCCCGGAAGGGGAGUGAAAUAGAACCUGAAACCGUGUGCUUACAAGUAGUCAGAGCCCGUUAAUGGGUGAUGGCGUGCCUUUUGUAGAAUGAACCGGCGAGUUACGAUUUGAUGCAAGGUUAAGCAGUAAAUGUGGAGCCGUAGCGAAAGCGAGUCUGAAUAGGGCGUUUAGUAUUUGGUCGUAGACCCGAAACCAGGUGAUCUACCCUUGGUCAGGUUGAAGUUCAGGUAACACUGAAUGGAGGACCGAACCGACUUACGUUGAAAAGUGAGCGGAUGAACUGAGGGUAGCGGAGAAAUUCCAAUCGAACCUGGAGAUAGCUGGUUCUCUCCGAAAUAGCUUUAGGGCUAGCCUCAAGUGAUGAUUAUUGGAGGUAGAGCACUGUUUGGACGAGGGGCCCCUCUCGGGUUACCGAAUUCAGACAAACUCCGAAUGCCAAUUAAUUUAACUUGGGAGUCAGAACAUGGGUGAUAAGGUCCGUGUUCGA
rnacentral:rRNA from 1 species